AUUGUUGGUUAAGAUAAAAGUUUAAAUAAAUGAUUUUUUGAUUUAAGGAAGCAGUUUAAGAUGUAAAAAUUUAAAGGCUUAAGCAUGUCAUGAGGGUUUGAGUAUGUGAUAUUUUAGAUAUAAAUAAAUAGUUUGAGGUAAAAAAAAUAAUAAUGAAACUUUAAAGUCUAACUUUAAAGUUUUAGUAAGCUAUAAGGUUUAGGAUAUAAGAUAUAAAGGUAUAUAUGAGGUAUAUAAAAAUGGAACCUGUUUCAGAUUUCUUUCUCUUGCUAUUCUGCUGUUACAUGGAGACUCCAAAGGGUCAUAGUUUUAAAAAUGUCUGUCUACUCUGCAGGUAUGAAUGAAAAUGUGGCCACAUGUAUGUUUGGUUUUGAAUGUCUGAGUUUGCAUGUCCUUUGUGUUAAGGAAUACAAGUUAAUACUAGUCAUCUGGCUAUCCAGAUACUAGUUUAAAGCAUAUACGGUUAAUUCUUCUUUAA